rnacentral:lncRNA from 1 species
CUCAUUUCCAAGAUGCAUGUUUUCGCAUUAUGUCACAUAUCUUGCUUUUUCUACCUAAAUGUAUAUGUAUUUGAAAAUUCCACUGUGUUGUACAAUUUGCUGCUUAUCAGCCAGGAGUAAUUCAUCCUUAUUGAGGUAUCUUCCCACUAAAUUACAGUUCAAGGUCAUUACUGACCCACUAGUUCAAUCAAAUCUAAUGUAAGCUGGCACUAGAGACUCAAAUCCUUCUGCUUAAUGUUUCUAGUUUGAAAUAAUGCUGCAUUUUUUAGCUACCAAACAAUGUCAAAGUUGCAAAAUAUUACCUUGAAGCUGUAAAAUAAUUAAGUGGCUUUUUAGGGUCUUACACUUAUAAAAUGCCUGUGAAAUCAGGUAUAGGUGAGACCAUCACACGUCAUGAAGAGAAUUAUGCUCUAGUAUUAUGGUAAUUAACUACCUUCCCAAAUAGCUUGUCAGACUUGUAACCCUUACGUCAGGAUUAGAAUCCUUGAAAUAACUGCCGUGUUUAUGGUUCUAAUUUGGUUUGCAAUUGAUUCUCCUAAAAACCGUAAGCCAGAAAAGUGCUUAUUUAACGGACCACAAUAUAGCCUUCAUGGAGACUAUUUUAAAAUUACUCUGGUGUCCUACAAACUUCAAGUUCCUUUGUUUUCAUAAAUUAUGAGAGGGAAAUGUCACAAGUGCUCAGCGUCGUGGUGCCCCGGCUCUGCUGACAGCUGUAUGAUGCACACUCAGUGCAACUGGAUGGGGGCUGAGAGUUUCAUCAAUAAAUAUGACUCUGAUCGCUUCAUGUUGACGGUCAAGGUAAUGGCAUUUAGUACCUUGGAAACACACACCACGACCAGCCACAUGUGGACCUGGGAGCUGAAAUCCCCAGUGUGGAGCGCAUCUCCUUCUUCUCUCUUGAUAGAAAAUUCACUCUUUAUCUUUCUCACAAUUCUUGAUGAUAAUCUGUUUUUAAUACAGUCAUAUUUCUCACUUAGGCUUUGCCACUGCAUAAGGCUGCUCAUAUAGUGAAUAUAGCCUGUGGAAAGAAGAGUUGAAGAAUAUUGUCGAUUACAUUAAGAGGAGUAUCUCACCUCCUAGCCAGUUUUAGCAUGGGCGCGACCACUGCUCCUCUGAAUCCCUAAAGACAAUUAGAUCAAUGCUUUAAAAUAUAAGAAAAGCAGACCACAGAAGGCCAAGGAAACUAAUCCUACAUAUAGGAAAAAUCGUGUGAAAUAAAUCUCAAGGGCAUGUUUUUUAGAAAUCAAUAUUAAAACGUUUUGUGUGUGAAUUAAUUUAAAAAUAAACUGCAGCUCUCCUUAGUAGCCAAGCUGCCCUACUUUAUCAGUUUUUUCAUUUACCUUUUAUCCUUUAUCUGCAGCUGUUUUUACCAUGAGGAUAUUUUGUAUGGACAGUAGAUCCCAAUGGUAUAUAUAACUAGCCUUUAAAUCCAUUAGUUUCAUUUAUUAAAAAAAAAUACAUCUGCUAACAUUUUGCUCCUCUCACAAUUUAGUAGUGUAGCAUAAUAUGUAAAAUUGAGAAAUAAAAAGGUAUUUUUCAUUAAAUGGUGUGUUUUUUUAAAAAACAGAUAUGGAUACUAUAAUAGAUAUGGAAAUCUAUACACACAGAGUAACUUUGGCUAUUUUUAUUUUUAGCCAGCUUUUCUCAUUAUGAAGCAAUUCUUUUUAGACAAUUCUCUGUCCAUAAAUGCUCUGCUUGGAAAAUUUUUACAGUUAACAUGAAAUACCUAGGUUUAAAAUGUCGCAUAAGAAAUUGUUUAUAUCUCCAAUUUUUGCUUCAGGAUAUUCCAGUGUUGACUCACAUAACAUUUAUUUUUUAAAUAUCCACAGUCACCUUGACAGAAUUUUCAGACUCUGAAAUACGGUGUAUUAAUUUGACUGUGAAUAUUUCCUUAAACCACAAAACACUGAAGGGCAGGAAAUCUCAAAAAUCCUUGCAUCUGGGGAAACUCAGGGUGGUAAGUAGGUUAACAUGUUACUAAAACUAUAGGGAGAUACAGUUUUUGACACGAAUGUUAAAAACAAGGUCUUGCAGACAUUUAAGCUUCAUCUUUUUACCCUUUUGAAUCUGUUUUUACACUGACCAUAAUUGAAAUAAUGUUAAAGUGUAACCAAAAGAAUUCUCAGGAAAAAUGUUAAAAGGGACCGAUUUAUGUAUAAAAAGAUCAAGAAAGAUAGGCUAAUUUUUAAAAUGCCCUAUGCUCCCAGUAUUAAUUCUCAAUCUCUGAAGAAUUCAUUUUAUACUUAUAACGACUGUCCUUUUUGUAAAGAAAAUACCUUUUUCCUCAUUUAUCGACCAAACUCUAAUGAGAAAAUAAGAAAUUUAAUGUCGAUGAAUUAUUCUUACUUUUUUUUCCCCUCUCUGAAGACCUGGGAAAGAAUUGGCUCCAGUUAAUGCAGGACCACUUUAUCUGUGUAAAAAUAUAACAUGGUUAAUAAAAUGUGAGCUAUGAAUAAAAAUGUAGCUAUGGUGAAAUACAAAUGUGGGUACUGCUAAGGUGUAAUACUGUACCCUCUUGUUGAUGAGUGGAGAAAAAUAUCCAUGUGAAGUGGAGAAAAUAUCUAUGAUGCUCUUAGCAAAUUCAAUUAUAUCAGAAGUGUUCUUUAGGAGGUUUUAGAGGCUCGAGAUUUCAGACUUUAAUGCCUGCACACAAACUGACUUUAAAAAGCAAAGAUUUGAAACAGAUAAAGCAACAUUUUGCCUAAAGUUCAUUCAUCAAAGGGCUGCAUAUUUUGAAAAGGGUAAAAGUACUACUAAACCCAUCAGGGAUAAGUAAAGGCUAUAUACUAUAGAUUAUUUUAAUCCCCCAGCUAGAUAUAAAAGGGAUAAUUACAUAUUUGUGGUUGAAGCCAUGUGGUGGAAAAAUCAAUACAACUUUUUUGUAUGACACUUCAUUAGUGUGAAAAAUUUUAAAAGCUGAGAAGAACUGCCUUGCAAUUAAAUGCCUCUGCUACUGCAGCUCCAGUAAUGGGUUUGUAUUAUUAUCUAGUUUAUUUGAAAUAGUGGUUGCACUAUAGAAGUAAUUGGAAAACAUUGAUUAUGCACUUGUAUCUGGAAAGCCUGGCAAAUCAUUACAGGGCCCGGCAACAGUUAGUUAGCCUUACUAAUGAAGCACUAAUUGCUCUAAGUAGGUUAACAUGUUAGUGAAACUAUAGGGAGAUAAUAGUUUAGAAAAUUCUGAAGUAUUUCACCAAACAUGCUUUUUCAUUUAAUAUUCCAGAGAUAGAAGACAUGUAGGGUUUUUUUCCCUUUUGGUUUGUUUUGUUUAUGAUGUUCUCUGGGGGGGAAAUGUAACCUAAAUUAAGUUCCCACAUUCGUUUGCCUUGAAACGACUCUGUUUCCUUUCAGGCUCUCUGCCUAUUAGCCCAGGCACUUUUAGAAAAUGGAACUUAGCCACUACCAGCACAGUUGCCCUGAACAGGUUUUUGGGUCCUGCAGUUUGGACACUUCUGACUUAUCUACCUGGGUUCAAGGGCUUUGUAAUUUAGUCUAUGCAAAAUCCUCCUGCUGUGGAAUCAUCUUCCCAUUGUCCUACUUACAUAAAAAUGUAAUUUAUCUGUCUAUCUAUAUAUAAAACUUGAAAUUAAUUGAAUUAGUGGAACUUAAUAGCACUUUACUAGCCAAAGUAGUACAUUCCCCCACUGCCAUUCUUGGGAUGUUUAGAAGGAAAAAAGAUAAAAACCAGUGUUGGAGACACUGCUACAUAUGUGCACCGGGAGACAAAGACAGGCAUGCUCGUAGCAGCAUUAUCUGUAAUAUUAGCAAACAAACAAGUAAAAACACUAGAAACCACAUUGACAGGAGGGUGGAUAAAUAAUUUAUUUUCUAUUCACACAGUGGAGUGUUAUUCAGUAGGGGAAUAGGAAGGGCAUUCAGGCAUGCACAUUAUGAAUGAAUUUUUGAGAUAAAAUGUUGAAUGAGAAAAGAAAGUUUCAAAAGACUACAUAUGAUAACAGUUUAUAAAGUCCCCCCAUAAGCAAAACAAACAAUUGUAGUGAUAUAUACUUACAUAACAAAAGCGUACUUUUAAAAAUCCAUGUGAUGGUAUAUAAAUACCAAGUUCCAAGAUAGACGUUACCUCAGGAAGUGGGGUAGAAAUGCAGAGGUGUCAAAGGCUUCAGUGGUGGUGUAGAUUUUGAAUUGGGUAGUUAUUUUAAUAUUACGAUUUAUAAUUCAAAUUUUAUGUGACAGGUGUUCUUCUGUACAUUACAACAAAACUUUUGAAAAGGAAAAAUAUCUUCCACCCCCAUAAAAAUUAUAUCAUCUUGCCAAGUCAAAUAACCAAGUCUACCCCCUUUGGUUUUCUAAGGAAUUCAGAGAGAAAAUGUUGCCACUUUAAAAUGUUGGGGUUUUUUGAGGGGGGCUAAUGAUGGAGACUAUAAAUGUAAGAAACUAAAGAUGAAAAAUAUUUUUCUUUAAUUAAAAAAAGAAUCUUUGUAGAAGUUUUUACAAAGACAGUAAUUAACUUUUGUCUGUUUACAAUCCAUUCUUCAGUGAGUUAUUCUCUUGUCCAGGCUUCUCUACUCUUCUCUACAAUGAGUAGUACAUCCAGGUUUACGUGAGAGUAGCAGAUUUAUCUUUGGGGGCAAAUAAGGAAACAACAGUGAUGUAAGGAUUGGAAAGGGCAACUUUUGUCAUUCUUACCAAAUAAACUUCCUUACUUAGCAACAUUUACCAAUAUAAAAGGCAGAUGAAGCGUCUAAUCCUGUAAGAUGCCCAAAAAAUUGGGAGGUCAGUGAGAGAGGGAUGAAUCAAUUUUCUGUGUCUUGCAUUCCUUGCCUGGCUGUUUUUUUAAUUCUUAUACCUAACACAGAUCUUGGCAUCUGGUAAGUGAGCAGUGCCUACUUUUGAGUCAGACUUUUUGUGAAACCAAUUUCUGCAAAAGUAGAUAUCUUGAAAUAUGUAAUUAUAUUUGAAUGCCAAAAGUGAUUGUUUACAAAUAAGGCAAUAAAGGCUCGCAGAAAAGUUCAGCUCCUUAAAUUCUUGAAAUAAAUGAGAAAAACCUUCCUCUGAAACAAACCAGAGACUAGCAAUGCUCUUGAAUUUUCCUUUGCACUUUCAACAUGUAGCAGAAUGAUAUUAUUUUGAGAAAUGCAACUCAUAGGUGAAGGGGCCCACAAAAGAUUUAAAGGGUAUGGAGUUCAAUGUAUGUCCUUGAUAAACAUGCCAAAGAAUUAUUAUUUUUUUAGAGAUACCUCUUGAAAUGUUUGUAGGUGUAAACAUAAAUGAAAUGAUAUCUAGGAUUUGCUUCCAAACAGUGCAAGGUGGGGAAUGAGGGGGAUUGUAGAUUAAACCAGACUGGUUGUGAGCAUGAGAUGAUAUUUGUUGAAGCAGGGUGAUAAGCACAUGGGAGUGAUUAUAUUACUCUGGCUCUUCUUAUGUUUUCAAAUUUUUCUACAAUAAAAAGUUUAAAAUAUGUGGGGAUAGAUUUAUUGAAUUUCUUAUGUGAAACUAUCUUGUUAAGUAGUAUCCAGCCAACGGCUCCUUCUCCCUCUUUGGCUACUGAUUCUUCUGAAAAGGCUCAUUUGUUUAUUUUCAAGUGACAUUGGGUGGCAACAAACAGGUGCCAUUAGUGUUGCCAGUUGAAAUGGAACUCUUAGCCUUCAAUAGGGGUUUUGUUUUUCCCCCGAUGGUGAUUUUUUUUUCCCCUCUUGGAGUUAUUGGAAGUAUCUGGCUAGGGUGGGCAGUUGCAAAGAGAGGGGAUUAUUGUUUAAAUGCGACCCUGUUUCUAGCCUUAAGUCAGACUAGAGCCAUUCUGGGUGCAUUCAACACUGCAAAGAAAAGUAACAAUGCUCUCAGAGAGCCGCGUUCUACAAAGCAGCUCAUUAUUGUAAAUGGGGCAUGUUUAGACUGCUAAGGCAAAUCAUAAAAGUACGGCCUCAACCGCAAGCUCCUUUGGCAGCAGACACUGUCCUCGGGCCAGAUAUACUUCUGGGCAGCCCCCGCACCUCCAGCCUGCAUGGAAAGCUCACCCGAUGAUUCCGAAAUGCAGAAAGUGGAGUUAGGGAAGUAUAAAUGUGCAUGGUGAACAUUAUCUGCAAGGUCUUUUAUGUUAAGGAAAUCAUGACACCUGCCAAUCUUUCAAAUUCCAAAGGGUAAAGCAUGAGGCCUAGUAGGCUGUCAUUGAACAUGACAGGCUUAAUGCCAAGUUUAUAACAGAAAAAGGGCAAUCUUAUUGUGGUUUAUUCAGUUUUAUGUUACUGGGUCGGUAGGAAGGCUCUUUCUCUCUCUCUCUUUUUAAAAAAUCUAAUUUAUAACAUUUGAAAUACCAAACAGAUUCUUUACAUAUCUCCUGAGCCCCUGCUCCUCUUCACUACCCCCAGUCUCUUCUUUAGGGAGCAACCCUAAAUCCUUCCAAUUUAGCAUCUUUGUGAGGCCAGACAAUGGUGUCAGUUGAGCAUUUCCUUCUGUUGUUAUAGAGCUGUUUCUAACUGCAAACAUCUCCGUUUAAUUACUGCUCCGACUGUUGCUAUAUUUUCACCCAACCUGCCCCUCGCUUGAGCCCAUUGGGCUGAAGAAAGAAUUACUCCCCGCGCUGGUCCUUAGCCCUGCUUGUUCGGAUCUGUAAUUGGCCCUGUGUUUUUGACUUUUUGCUAAUAAGCAGCUUACUUUCUCUCCCCCUAGACUCAACCCACCACUUUUGUUUCAUGAAUUUUACAAAGGAUUUUAAUAGAUGCUUUAGGCUAUGCAAAAUGUUAUAUGAAGGGAAGCAUUAAUGCAACAGCCUUGACACAAAGGACGUGUGAAUGGCUGCUUAUCAUUACAGUCAGGUCUCAAAAUUUUCAUUAGGAGUUCUGGAGGACAAAAGAAGAAAAAAGUGCAGCUAUAUGAAGGAAUAUUAACCUAUACUGUGUAACCAACUAUAAUUGCUUAGCAUUUUACAUUAACUCUCUUCAGACACGGCCUCUCAUUAUUUUUACACAUACAUAAUAACUGCUUAUUACAGCGGUAUAGUCCAUGUCGAUACAUUGUGGAUAAGGUUGUGUCAGCACUUCUAAUAUAAGACCCACUUUCCUGGGUUUAAAACAGCUGUAAAAUUUACCUCCAGACCUAAGAUUGGUAAUCAGCUUUCCACCUGGAGAGAGAAUUUUGUUUAAAGU